rnacentral:rRNA from 1 species
GACGAACGCUGGCGGCGUGCCUAAUACAUGCAAGUAGAACGCUGAAGAGAGGAGCUUGCUCUUCUUGGAUGAGUUGCGAACGGGUGAGUAACGCGUAGGUAACCUGCCUUGUAGCGGGGGAUAACUAUUGGAAACGAUAGCUAAUACCGCAUAACAAUGGAUGACACAUGUCAUUUAUUUGAAAGGGGCAAUUGCUCCACUACAAGAUGGACCUGCGUUGUAUUAGCUAGUAGGUGAGGUAAUGGCUCACCUAGGCGACGAUACAUAGCCGACCUGAGAGGGUGAUCGGCCAAACUGGGACUGAGACACGGCCCAGACCCCUACGGGAGGCAGCAGUAGGGAAUCUUCGGCAAUGGGGGCAACCCUGACCGAGCAACGCCGCGUGAGUGAAGAAGGUUGUCGGAUCGUAAAGCUCUGUUGUAAGUCAAGAACGGGUGUGAGAGUGGAAAGUUCACACUGUGACGGUAGCUUACCAGAAAGGGACGGCUAACUACGUG